rnacentral:lncRNA from 1 species
CUUGGUUUUACAAUGAAAACCCAGGCCUGCUGGGGGAUCCCGGGUGGCUCAGCGGUUUAGCACCUGCCUUUGGCCCAGGGCGUGAUCCUGGAGUCCCAGGAUCGAGUCCCACAUCGGCUCGCUGCAUGGAGCCUGCUUCUCCCUCUGCCUGUGUCUCUACCUCUGUGUGUGUGUGUGUCUCUCAUGAAGAAAUAAAUAAAAUCUUUAAAAAAACACUAUGAAAACCCAGGUCUGGGAGCAUCAGGAGCCUUCCUGGACCACCACCCAAGGACAGGCAACCUCAUCCCAAUUUCCAUCAAAUUCUUCACCUCCUCGGAGACUGCCUGGUUUCUGGUGGCCUUGCCUGAUCCGGAGCAGGUUCCAGCAAACCCACUGA